rnacentral:rRNA from 1 species
UACGUAGGGUCCGAGCGUUGUCCGUAAUUAUUGGGCGUAAAGGGCUCGUAGGCGGUUUGUCACGUCGGGAGUGAAAACUCAGGGCUCAACCCUGAGCGUUCUUCCGAUACGGGCAGACUAGAGGUAUGCAGGGGAGAACGGAAUUCCUGGUGUAGCGGUGGAAUGCGCAGAUAUCAGGAGGAACACCGGUGGCGAAGGCGGUUCUCUGGGCAUUACCUGACGCUGAGGAGCGAAAGCAUGGGGAGCGAACAGG